GAUGAAAUAGAAAGCCUAGGCAUAACUAACACCGAUGGACUGGUGUGGUUUUAAAUUUGCUGCAGCUGGAAGCUGAGCACGGCUGCAGGCGUGGGAAAAGACUGCUUAAAGUAGAAAAAUGAUAAGUAAUUAUCCUCCGGAAGAAGAUAAUUGGGGCCCGGAUGGCUCCAUCCUACAAACCUUCCGUGAAGCAAAUAAAAAGUUAGUUUGUAACUUGGCUAAGGCUGGGUGGAAUCGGCAUAGAUUGGCAGCUGAGCAGAAAGCCGGGUGGGUGGGACAAAAGAAUGACAAGGAGAAACCACAGAAAGGGUCUAUUUUGAUAGCAGCAUUACGUAGACAAGUUGUUCACUGUAAACUACAGGAACCCUGAAGCAAGCCUCAGCUAAAGCCAGCCAGAGACAGGGAAACAGAUGGGCAUGAGUGUUACCGGCAAUACCCAUGUCCAUGCGCGGAACCCCUAACAGAACCACUGCACUGAAAUCCUUCGAGUUGAUGACCAAAGGUGCCAUGACCCUCCCGACUGAUACGAUCACAGGGGGAGCAGAACUCAUUAAUGCAAAAGGGGCCCAUAUGGGACUUUAUCAGAACCUUAUGCCAGCAGUUGGAUAGAUUAAAAACGCGAGUUACUCAGCAGCAGCAGUCAGAGUUUGGGAGAAAGAGGGAGAACCAACAGAAGCCAUGCAGAUUAAACCAGGAGACGAGGUAAUGUACGAUUAUUUCCUCAGAAGGGGUGUGGGAGCUCCCUCCAUGAUGGGAAGGACCUUAUGAAAUAAUUAUCACAGGUAAUCACGGAGUUUAAGUAAAUGAAGCUGGCAUAGGUAAAUGGUGCCACCCUUCACAGGUGAAUGUGUAUGAUCCCUAACUGCCCAUUGGCAAGGCCUUGCGCUUCCUCUUUCUGUUUUAACAGAUUACUCCUAGCGGAGCAUGCUCAACAAUGACCUUCGGUGUCAAGACUAACGUAUGGCCCGAGUCAACCCACACCGACAAUGACUCCUGGCAAACACAUCCGGUGGACAGUGACAUUUAUUACACCGGCCUGAAGGACUUCUACACGAAUGGAGAGCUAUGGAUUGAGCCAUCUGAGAAAGGACGGUUAACAUACGCUGCUGGGUUUCCCCUCUUGAUCUUGCAAAGAAGACUUGACUCAAAAGAAAACAGUUCAGAUGGUGAGUGAAGCAGAGGUGCAGAAGCAUCACAGAUCGGUCUUAAGGGGAGAAGAUCAAACUUGGCACAGGACAUCUUCAGAAACAUCAAAUCUUAAGAACAAUCAGGCACUUUCAGAAGGAGGACACGACCACAGAAAAGCAAAAGAUCAAACAACCACCCACACAAAGAAGUAAAUGAGGUAGAAGAGUCUCCAAUAGAAGACAGACCCAAAUUUUCCUUGGAGAAAUCAAUGGCCUGGACUGCAUAAUUUGGCAAGCAGUUGUUUAAGCCAAUGAGCAUCUCAUGAAUCCCAAGUUGGACAGUGAAACAAGUAUCACAAUAUCAUUAGAUAGAAAGUCUUCAUUGACAAAACACUGCCCACAGCUGACAAAUAUUUAACUACAUGGUCCAGGGGACUUUGCACUUUGCAUUUACAUUAAACAAGCAAUUCUCCAACACUAAAUAGCAUACAUUAAAAAACCUAUCAAUACUUCACAACCACAAAUUCUCAUUCUUGAGUAGAAAGGCAUGUUAUGUACCUCAGUCAUCUUUAAAAGCUGGAAGAGGUUAAACAAUGGAAGGUCAAGGAACAGCCAAUCAAAGAAUGACUAGUCAAGACCCAGCCAAUGACGGUAUGGCUGGUUGAAGAUUUCACAGGGCUCUGUUAGUUCCUGACUGAAUCAGAACAAACAAAAUCAGAAUCUCCUGAGGUUAAUUAUGUUGGAAUAGGAAAUUGUUUCAUGCCAUCAAUGAGAUGGAAAGCUGUGUUCAUACUGAUUUGGUAGAAAUGUUUUCCACUACUAUCAACUAAAGAGACUUGAGAUUCUAAUUAAGAACAAACUUUGAGAAGGAAAGAAAACAAAGAGGCAGCAACUGAACAGCAUACAUAGCUUGAGACAAUUGAAACAUCCGCACCUGAAAUGUUUGGAACAUGACACAGUGGACACUUAAUUGUGAAAAAUGCAAGUCACAUGUUAGAUGAAAUGACAAGGAAGAGACCAGCUCAAAUAUUCUUCUAUUCUUCUUCUUCUUAUAUUUCAAAGAUGAUUGCUCAACAACCAUAAUGGAUCCACAUCAACAAGAAGGAAUCCAGAUAAUUGAAAAAGUGGGCAAGUUGAUUUCACUAAUAAUUCAGUUGCAGAAAGCAAAUGAGAAUGUCCAAAUUAUUCAACAAUUUGAACUAAAAAAAAUCUAUCUACUUCAGCACAGAUCCACAGGUAGGUUGAAAAUCAAAAUCCAGUUGACACAACUUGAAGAUGUGAUGUAUACAACCACAUGGAAGACAUGAGUAAGAACAGACAAGCAAUGUUUAAAGAUUCAAGAAACCGCACCUAGAAACUAGUGUCUGCUCUAGCCCAGACAGUGCCCUCUCUGAAACAAGUACAAGAGAUUAAGGGUUCAAAUCUCAGAUCAUUAGAAAGACAGUUCAGGAUAACUAACUCUUACACGACAAUUUACCAAGUU